rnacentral:rRNA from 1 species
UACGUGGGGUGCAAGCGUUGUCCGGAAUUAUUGGGCGUAAAGAGCUCGUAGGCGGUUUGUCGCGUCUGCUGUGAAAACUCGGGGCUUAACCCCGGGCCUGCAGUGGGUACGGGCAGACUAGAGUGCGGUAGGGGAGACUGGAAUUCCUGGUGUAGCGGUGAAGUGCGCAGAUAUCAGGAGGAACACCGGUGGCGAAGGCGGGUCUCUGGGCCGUAACUGACGCUGAGGAGCGAAAGCGUGGGGAGCGAACAGG